GACGAACGCUGGCGGCGUGCUUAACACAUGCAAGUCGAGCGAUGAAGUUCCUUCGGGAAUGGAUUAGCGGCGGACGGGUGAGUAACACGUGGGUAACCUGCCUCAUAGAGGGGAAUAGCCUUUCGAAAGGAAGAUUAAUACCGCAUAAGAUUGUAGCUUCGCAUGAAGCAGCAAUUAAAGGAGUAAUCCGCUAUGAGAUGGACCCGCGUCGCAUUAGCUAGUUGGUGAGGUAACGGCUCACCAAGGCGACGAUGCGUAGCCGACCUGAGAGGGUGAUCGGCCACAUUGGGACUGAGACACGGCCCAGACUCCUACGGGAGGCAGCAGUGGGGAAUAUUGCACAAUGGGGGAAACCCUGAUGCAGCAACGCCGCGUGAGUGAUGACGGUCUUCGGAUUGUAAAACUCUGUCUUCAGGGACGAUAAUGACGGUACCUGAGGAGGAAGCCACGGCUAACUACGUGCCAGCAGCCGCCGUAACAC
rnacentral:rRNA from 1 species